GACGAACGCUGGCGGCGUGCUUAACACAUGCAAGUCGAACGGAAAGGCCCUGCUUUUGUGGGGUGCUCGAGUGGCGCACGGGUGAGUAACACGUGAGUAACCUGCCCUUGACUUUGGGAUAACUUCAGGAAACUGGGGCUAAUACCGGAUAGGAGCUCCUGCUGCAUGGUGGGGGUUGGAAAGUUUCGGCGGGUGGGGAUGGACUCGCGGCUUAUCAGCUUAUUGGUGGGGUAGUGGCUUACCAAGGCUUUGACGGGUAGCCGGCCUGAGAGGGUGACCGGCCACAUUGGGACUGAGAUACGGCCCAGACUCCUACGGGAGGCAGCAGUGGGGAAUAUUGCACAAUGGGCGGAAGCCUGAUGCAGCAACGCCGCGUGCGGGAUGACGGCCUUCGGGUUGUAAACCGCUUUCGCCUGUGACGAAGCGUGAGUGACGGUAAUGGGUAAAGAAGCACCGGCUAACUACGUG
rnacentral:rRNA from 1 species